GGAUGAUUGACAGGUUAGCCCUUCAGUGAGGAUGGCUGACUGCUUAGAUGAUGAUUGACAGGUUAGCCCUUCAGUGAGGAUGGAUGACUGGCUAGAUGAUGAUUGACAGGUUAGCCCUUCAGUGAGGAUGGAUGACUGGCUAGAUGAUGAUUGACAGGUUAGCCCUUCAGGGAGGAUGGCUGACUGGCUAGAUGAUUGACAGGUUAGCCCUUCAGUGAGGAUGGCUGACUGGCUAGAUGAUUGACAGGUUAGCCCUUCAGUGAGGAUGGCUGACUGCUUAGAUGAUGAUUGGCAGGUUAGCCCUUCAGGGAGGAUGGCUGACUGGUUAGCUCUUCAAUGAUGUUGAGAGGUUAGAGUGUGGCAAGACUAGAGCCUAAUUAUUUGGUCCAUCUCUAUCCCUUUACCAGCCAUUUGUUAUUUU